rnacentral:tRNA from 1 species
GUGGCUGUAGCUCAGCUGGUAGAGCACCGGAUUGUGGUUCCGGUGGUCGUGGGUUCAAACCCCAUCAGCCACCCCA